GAAGGAAUUCUGGGAAUGUUGCACCAGAAAAUUUGCCUGACGUAUGUACAGAUUUCAUUCCGAAUUUUCUCUGUUCUUACACGUUAGUCUAUUGAGCUCGCUUCGCGCCGCUCGCUGCGCUCGCUAUCAACAGUGCGGCAGUGCCAGUGAAAGUCAGGCGGUAUGCCGGAGCAACAAAGAGUCUUGAUUUUUAGAGGCAGGUUUUAAAGAAAGAAAUCAGUGUUGUAAAGAAAGAAAAAGAUUUUCCACUCAAAGAAUUAUGGAUAACACAGAGGGUUCAGGAACCAUAAAUUUGAUGUUGGAGUCUUAACUUCACCCUGAUAGACUUUGAGCACGUCAUAAGUUUAAGACCUAUGGACAAAAAUCUUGCAAUGGGAAGAUAA